CCUUUCUCCUGUACGAAAGGUUAAAAAAAUUCAGGUAAAUUCAACAAGCAUAACUUAACAAUUGUCGUGUUUAAUUGUGCAACAAAUGGUUUCCUAUAAUUUUUUGAAAAAUGUUCUUCAUGCAUAAGGACGUUCAGUGAUAAGAUAGCAUUGAAAUGAACACUAAAGCAAAAUGAAUCUGCACCGUAAGAAAUGUACAUGUAUAUAUACUUAGAAAUUCUGAUUAAGUGGUGUACAUUUUUUUAUAAAUCGCAAAUAUUAAACCAUGAUCCUAUGCUAUUGAAAUUAUUGAGAUAUAACUAAUUUUCAACACAACACCCCUUACCAAAUAAAAAAGUCAUGUUCAACAAUUUGUUUCAUAUUUUAGAAAUGCAGCAGGUACGUAAGAAUUGGACGCGGUAGGUAUUGUGCUGUGAUAUUGGUUUUGGUUGCAGUGUGUGUAUGUGCAUCAAUUCAUGUCCUAACCAAUUACUUUCUCAAAAAGAAUAACCACAGGUAAGGUAAGUUGGUUGCUUGCCUUUAAAUAUGACGUUAAUAAUGUUAAUGAAAAUAUGGUGGUGUAUUUGGAAAUGGUACGCUGUUCCUCCUUUUUCCUCCUUUUAUACCCAUGUCAGCUGUUCAACCCUGAAGCAAUGAUACGUACCCUUUUUAGAUAGUUUUCUUAUAGAAUCAUUUUAAAUGUAAAUCAAAGCACACACUCCAAAACCUACAACUAGUCUCCCAACGUCUUCUGGCACGGAGACUACAGUCGAAACAUCUUCCGUACCACCCAAUACAGAACCAACUGUCACUAGUAUUGUGACGUCAAAUCAAACGGAGACCACACCUGAGCCAGUAAACGCCACCACCACAGGACCAUCUACAGCAGGUAACAGCAUUGUCCGAUGUUUAUUUCAAAGAUAUUAUAAGAACACCUUUGUUGUAUAUAUUUCUUGGAACCAAAAUGCGUUUCAUUAACGCUCUCUCCCGCUUAAUUGUUUUUAUUUCUUACAGUUAAUGAUCUGCCUUUACUUUGCUUAUUUUUUUAGACUGUCAAAAUAAUCCAAAUAUUGAUUGUCGAAUGUACAAUUCGGAAGUAACUUGUGACAUCAAUGGAAAGUACUACCCCUGGGCUAAAACCAACUGUCCGUUAUAUUGCGGAUAUUGCCAAGGUAUGCAUAUAAAGAAAAAGUGCGUGAACUAAUCAAAACGCAGAAGAGACAAAAACUACUAAUUGUUUAUUAUAAGCGUCAACAAAACAUUACAUGUACCUGUACCUAAAACCCUUGGCAUUUGUGGUCGUUUUUUCUACAAAUUUUUAAAUUAUAAUUGAAUAUAGUUAUUUUAAGUUUUCUCAGAAUGUCUCGCUUAUCUUUUUGAUAAUUUUGUUAUUUAUGGCAUUUUGUUCCUUUAUACUUUUAAAGCAUACACUAUUUCUUUGAUGUCAAAAAGUAUGGAUGUUAUCAUUGUUAUUAAUGCAAUUAUUUAUGAUAAUGAAUUUGUAUUACAACUGACUAGUAAAUUCUUUUAUUACUAUCAUGCCAACCAAGUUUUCCAACUUUUACUCUGAUUUUAAGAGACCAAGCAUAAACAUUUUCUUAUUUAUGCUUUUUCAUCAUUGAAUUAAUAAUGUACACAGAUUUAAUAAAAUCUAUGUCACAUGUCAGUUCCAACAAUGGCAAUAAAAUGCGAAGAUAAGUUACCCAACUGUGACGAAUACCUGGAUGUCUGUUCCAAACAUUUGUAUCUGUUGUUCAGAGAGGAAAACUGUCGAAAGUUCUGUGGAAUAUGUAAUGGUAAAACCUCAUCUUUUUAAAUUUAGUUUUUUUUUUUGGUUUUAAUUUUUUUUACUGUAGUCUACGCUAAAAUAGCGAUCUGAUGGCAUUUAUUUAAAGAUUCCGUUUAAUGUUUAUAUAAUAAUUGAUCAGUUCUAUUUCAGAGCAUUUGAAAAUUCGAUAUAUUUUUAAUUUUUUUAUACUUUGAAUAUAGAUUAUGAAACUUUAAAAACUUUUAAUCCAUAUUUUUAUAGUCAGACUUGUUUGACUCAAAGUGGUUAGUGCCAAAAUGUUAGAACAAUUGAUCGAAUGUUUAAACAAAUAAGUUUUUCUUUAAUAAAAUGUUUUAUAAACUCAGUACUCUGUAGUACAAAUUAAAUGCAUUUAUUGACAUUGAUAUAUGUCUAUUUUUUUCAGAUGUUGAUUAUGUGUACGCACCAUCAACGUUUGGAUAAAGAGAUUAAUAAAAUGGAUUAAUAGAUAGUCAUUUUUUUUUUAAAAAAACCAAUAUUCAAUAAAGAAAUUAAAUGUG
rnacentral:misc_RNA from 1 species